UACAGAGGGGGCAAGCGUUGUUCGGAAUUACUGGGCGUAAAGGGCGCGUAGGCGGCCUGCUAAGUCGAACGUGAAAUCCCCGGGCUCAACCCGGGAACUGCGUCCGAUACUGGCAGGCUUGAAUCCGGGAGAGGGAUGUGGAAUUCCAGGUGUAGCGGUGAAAUGCGCAGAUAUCAGGAGGAACACCAAUGGCGAAGGCAGCUCGCUGGGACGUGACUGACGCUGAGACGCGAAAGCGUGGGGAGCAAACAGG
rnacentral:rRNA from 1 species